CUUACAAUGUUUUUCUCAAGGAGAAAGUUAUUCAUCUGACCUUUUGCAUAGAGUCCUUCUUCGUCAGGGAUCCCAAAGUGUUUUACAGAUGCAGAGAUUUAGCGCUGACAUGCACAUGUCAGAGGGAAAAUUAACAGACUGACGGCACCAUGGUUGCACAGGAUUUUGGUGGUGCAGAAAUAUGACUGCUGAUGGGCUUCACUGCUGCUUUCCCUGAAAGGCCAUACAGCAGCACUGCGCAGCACCCCAGUCGGGAAGCGUGAGAUACUUUACUCAACUGAAAAUAUAGAUUCCAAAAUUAGAUCAAGUCACAUUUCCUCAUGGAACUUCGGCUUCAAGGAGGCAUUGAGCUAUUGCAGCCCCUAGUCUGAAGGUUCCUGCUCCAGUGGAUGACCUGCGCUGUCAUGCACAAUAUCCAAAAACAAUUGGACAAUGGCAAACUUAAAAAGUUAAUGCAUGUCCUGCUUACUGUCCCAUCCCCCUCAGCUUGUGCUUUCUGACACUUGCUUGAUGUUGCCGAGUCCUUUUUGUUGAAAGUGCUGUUUAGUCCAUAACUUGCCUGCUGCAUUCUCAUUUGACCUGUUAACUGCUAAAGCAAAAAAAAGUUAUUUUAAGAAUUGGCUUGUCAAAGAGAGCAUAUCUCCUCCCUUCAAAGACCUCUGAAGAUUAAUGUUUGAUUAAAAUGUGACUGCAGCAUUAAAA